rnacentral:rRNA from 1 species
UACGUAGGUGGCAAGCGUUGUCCGGAAUUAUUGGGCGUAAAGGGCUCGCAGGCGGUUUCUUAAGUCUGAUGUGAAAGCCCCCGGCUCAACCGGGGAGGGUCAUUGGAAACUGGGAAACUUGAGUGCAGAAGAGGAGAGUGGAAUUCCAUGUGUAGCGGUGAAAUGCGUAGAUAUAUGGAGGAACACCGGUGGCGAAAGCGGCUCUCUGGACUGUCACUGACACUGAGGCUCGAAAGCGUGGGGAGCAAACAGG